GAUGAAUGCUGGCGGCGUGCCUAACACAUGCAAGUCGAGCGGUAACAGGUCUAGUUUACUAGAUGCUGACGAGCGGCGGACGGCUGAGUAACGCGUGGGAACGUGCCCCAAAGUGAGGAAGAACUGCCCGAAAGGGUGGCUAAUGCCGCAUAUGAUCUUCGGAUUAAAGGAUUUAUCCGCUUUGGGAGCGGCCCGAGUUAGAUUAGGUAGUUGGUGGGGUAAUAGCCUACCAAGCCGACGAUCUAUAGCUGGUCUGAGAGGAUGAUCAGCCAGACUGGGACUGAGACACGGCCCAGACUCCUACGGGAGGCAGCAGUGAGGAAUCUUCCACAAUGGGCGAAAGCCUGAUGGAGCAACGCCGCGUGAAGGAUGAAGGCCCUCGGGUUGUAAACUUCUUUUAUAAGUGAAGAAUAUGACGGUAACUUAUGAAUAAGCACCGGCUAACUACGUGCCAGCAGCCGCCGCAG
rnacentral:rRNA from 1 species